rnacentral:tRNA from 1 species
UCAAUGUAGCUUAAAUCAAAGCAUAACACUGAAGCUGUUAAGAUGCGCCCUAAAAAGCUCCAUCGACAC